GCGCCUGUGGUCUAGCGGCUAGGAUUCAACCAUUCCAAGGUUGAGAGGGGGGGAGGGGCUCGAUUCCCUCUUGACGCA